CUAUACAUAUAAUAAAAUCGUAGAAAAGUGCUGUCUGUACAUUGAAAAUAAAAAUAAAAAAAAUAGCAGGGGUUAUUGUUAUGUCGAUGUCGAAGCCAAAAAUGUAAUUAACUUUUUUUUUGUCUGUUUGUCUGUUUGUCUGUUUGUCUGUUUGUCUGUUCGUCUGUGCGCGCUAAUCUCAGAAACGGCUGAUCCGAGUUGGAUGCGGUUUUCACGAAUAUAUUGUGGGAUGCUUAAAUUUACAUUUAGUGUUUGUUUCAUGUCAAUCGGUUCAUAAAUAAAAAAGUUAUGUCAAAUUAAAGAAUCACGUCGAACAUUCUAUGCUUAUACCAUUAAUCUCCGCAACUAUUUGACGGAUUUGGUUGAAAUUUGGUACAGAUAUAGUUUAGAACCUUAGAAAGGACAUAGAUAUAUUUUUAUUUCAAAAAUCAAAAAAUAAAAAUAAGAAAUAAAUUAUUUAUAAAUAAUUCUAUGUCGAUCGUUACACGACUUCGGUUCAUGUUAUUGUUUUAAUUUAUCGAAAAAAAGUAAAUAAAUAGUAAAAAGGUAUGAAAAAAAUAAUAUCAAUAUAAUAAAACAUUUAGUACAAAGAAAAUGCUCUAACGGAGUAUAGAUAAUUCUAUGUCGAUCGUUACACGACUUCGGUUCAUGUUAUUGUUUUAAUUCAUCAAAAAAAAGUAAAUAAAUAGUAAAAAGGUAUGAAAAAAAUAAUAUCAAUAUAAUUAAACUUUUAGUACAAAGAAAAU